ACGUUGUUUUAUGUAUCUACAAACGCGCCAUCUACAUCCGCGAAAUAUCCCACUUCGCACAUAAAAACCUAGGGUUAUCGACUACAUAUGUGCGCGUGCUAUUUUAUGAGAAAUUUAUCAGCAAUCAAAGUUACUUUCUUUCGCAAUCUUUCCCCUUAGGGGUAAACUUUUAUCGCAGUCUGUGAUUGAAGAACGUAUACUUAGAAUUCUUUGUUGCCAGUAUCUAUAGUUCCUCGCGAGGCUAGCGAGUCGCGAAGUAGAUGGUCUGUAAUGAUCGCAGUUUGCAGAGUUCACUUCCUGUGCGAUUAUGAUUUCAGCUAUCUGUGAUGCAUGCCGCCCUAGCUAGUAAGAAUCCGCUAUCUACGCUAUAUAUACGCCACGCCGUUUUACUAUGCCUAUAGUUCAGCUAUAAACUAAAACGCUUCAUAAUCUCGCUUCCUACCGACGUUCUUCCAACUGGUCUUCAGAAAUCGAAAUUUCGAAGCAACCAAAUAAUCGUUUCAGGAAAUCACGUACGGUGAAUCAUGAAAGUGUUUAAGCGUAUAUCAUAAAAUACUUUUACGUGUAUAACACGUUUUGGAAGGCUAUAAUAGGAUAAGUUAAGAAGUGAAAAAUUCCCUAGAACCGAUCCCAUCUGGUGAUAUAUUUUUCACGUAUGUGUUUUUGCAAGAAUGCGUCGUAGUACAUGAAAUUAAAACGUGGACAAAAACGUGAUCAAUACUUUCAAUUCUUGUAUUUUCCGUAGACAGCAAACAAGUUUACGCCGAAUUAUGAUAAUGGACGUGUUCUCGAUCCACGCAUCCCGGAUUUGCAACCUUUUCAGCCGUGAUCCACGGUUAGUAAAACAAGUGGGGGAUAAGUGGAGAGGGGCGAAGAAGGCAGGACCGUAUAAUUACCAGCGUCCAAGCAAUUUCCAAUGUUUCCCCAGCCGGUUCGCUCUUUCUAUCCGCGUUUAGCUCUCCCCGCUGAGAAACAGAGAGCCCGGGGGCUGAUUCCUUGAAAUUGAUUCUCCGCUUUCUCGAACCCACCAUCUGUUGGCGGCAUCCCCAAACGAAAUAAUCGAAGAGAUUAAGGGCUUGCGAAGACAGGGGAUGAGGUCGCGGCUGCCCUCCCCCCCCCCCUAUUUCAGCCUUUUUUCUCAAUAAAAUUCUGGCACGUUUCUGCGCCGGAUAUUGUGUAUCGCGUGGGACAGCGUACGUACCAUCGCAUGCUGCGGUCGAGAACUCGAUCUUGCGUGAACGAGCAAUUCGCCAGUGAUCAUUCCCAAAAUCUGCCGCGAGAGAUCGCGGCUAACCUCUGGAUGACGUUUUCUCGAUGGAAACGUUCCAUGUUGCCCGUUCCUCCGAAUUGCAUCGGUGACCGAUCGAGAUGAAAUUUGGUGGAUUCAUACUUCUGAGGUCACUGAGAGAAAAUGGUCGGCGAAACGAAGCAGAUGCCUCCACUGUGUCCCCCGGUCGCCGUUCAUUUAUCAUUACCUUGGUGUAAAGGCAGAAAAAUGUAGAAAAGCGACGAGGUAGAUGUACAUAUAUACAUAUAUAAGCGGCGCGUGAUUCCGAUGAUUUGCCCACAUUAUUCAUUCUGGGAAUUGUACAAACGACGCUCGGACGACGCGUUGAUAAACGACGCCGAGACGCGUUCGAUUACGUCGCCAGGAACUCUGAAAAAUAUAUGCGACGUAUUGGCAAAUUGGAUCCGAAGAGAGCCGAUUUUAAAUUGAUAACGACCGAUUCCCCGAAGUGGGUACGGAGUGUCCGACUGUCCAUUCGUUUAUAUUUCUCUUUAUUAUGCGCUCACGAUCGUAUCGAUUACGCGUGGAAUAUUAAUUAUCCGAGUGUAUUUAUGACGCGGCAUAUUUGUUUUGAAUCCACUUUGUUAAAAAACAGGUCGCUUAUAUAAGUUAUAUAUUGAAACGAUACUAUAUUACAGACCUGUUACAGAAUUGAUACAAUUCAGGAAAUUUACUGUUUCGCUUGGGAAAAUUAUUCUCGGUUUCCUUGGAUUACAAGCUGAGAAUAAUAUUUUAUCUUCUUUGAACAUUAUUAUCGGACUUGACACUUGGCUAUCGUUAUUUCGUUUCACAUAUCAUCGUUAUUUUUCCUGGUAAAUUUAAUUUACAACAUAAUGUGUUCUAAGAAAUUGAUAUUUUCAAGUUGUAUCGAUUUUGAUUCCACUUGAAGUUACAUUCAUACUUCUUCAUAAAAACAGCUAUGGAUAAUAUUAGUACAAAAUGAAAUUACGUCUUAAAUGUUGAAAUAAUGAUUAAACGAGACUUUAACACAAAUCAUGCCAAUUAACGGUUGAAAAUUUAACUAACGUUUCGAGUCACACCAGCAGAUAUAGAGAACUAACUAUUCUCUUUGUUUUCAUUGGAUAUUUCAUAAACAUUGGAAGCACCGAAUUAUUUAUACCGUGUAUAAUCCACCGUGUGCAGCUGUAUACAGUCGCAUGUCCGUUUCAAUGCUCUAUAACAUAACGAUACCAAUUAUCAUCAUUAUGCUCGCGUGCAAUUAACAACGUGCGGUGAAUUAUAAACGAAACGCAAUGAAUUCGAUGCGGUUGCGUUAUCGAACACACGCCGAUUGUCCGAAUCUGCGCAAGAGAUUGAAGAAUAACGAAUUUAUCACCGGGACAAUAUCGGUCUGAAAAUAUCGUGAUUUCCAAUUGUAAACAGGACCGGUCAUAGGAUAUCACUCCUCGAUUAUCUUCUACAUCCAGACACUUCCAGUCAGAAUAUUGUUUCCAACGAAACCUGCUUACGAACUACACAAAUGACACCGCACGCAUAAAAAUAAAUCCGAAAUAUACGAUCAAAUUUUCCCACGCGAUGCUUAGUUUCCACGAAAAUUGAAUUAAAGUAUUCCUCUAGUAAGAUUACACUCGGUAAAACCUACUGUUAGCAAGAAAAAUGUCGCCAGUACUGACGAUAUUUAUAUAGAAUACUUUUAGAUUAUCUUUUGGAAGGAAGGAGAUUUAUUUCGGGAAAUUAAUUCUUACGUUAAUCAUUUAUAUCGAAUCUUCUAAUGACUAAAUUAGAAACACCAAUUUGUCCAUAAUAUCUGUCCAAAACAAUUCUACCCUUAUUCAGUAAUACCAACUAUUAGUAACAUACAAAUAUCACAAAUAGCGAUAAUAUAUCAAUUGUAACCUAUAACCUGUUUCUAGUUACCUUCUUUAACGACGAUUAUGCCUAGUAUCAUUAACUAAAAUAAAUCACAUUAGUCACAUUAAUGGUCUAUCGUACGACUAAAUCAAAAUCAUUAACUCUCCACAAUCUAGAUCAUAGCAUCUAUCCAAAGUUAGAAGGAACUGUAAUUCUUGUAAAAAUGAAAGUUCUGGUGAUUUCGCGAGCGUCUCCCCCUCUGGCGGCGUGUUUUAAAAUACUUCCCCGACGACGUGCGGCUGGUUGGCACACGUGAAUCAUUACACGGCUAAAAUACCACGUUCAAUGAACAGGCCGAGGCGCGCACGUGCGGGACAGGCACACGACACGCCUGGUCGUCUCCAUUCAAGUCGGCCGGGAGUUAAAACUGUUUUACCAGAAGUGGCGGCACGUGAUUACGUCCCGGGCUAUUCUUGGCACUGGAGAGGCUAGGCUUGGAUGUACGCGCUCUCCUUUUCCCUCUAUCCAUUCGGAGUGGAAGUACGGAAGCGCGUAGAUAACUGGAACACUUCGAGACACGAAAGAGUAGCGGUAUACGCGUCACCGGAAGAAUAGUGGAUGCCGGAACUAUACUAAAUUCAAAUAUCGAUUAAAUUUGAAAUUUAAAAGGACGUCUAUAUAUAAGAUAUAUAAAAGACAUACGUUUGCUACUAAUGAAAUGUAAGAUUAUAAUAAUACGAUUAUUUCACGGUACAACUUCGAACAAGAUAAGAUAAGGUAACUAUACAUUCGUACGUUCGCAAUAACGAUGACAAAGAGCUGACGAAAAUUUUUAACUAUAAUAGUCCUUAAUUCCUAACUAAAACAUUCUUCAAAAUCCUAAUCAAGUAAUUAUAGAAAACGUACAGAUCGAAAAUGAUCUACCAUUGUGGUACACUAUUCACUACCCGAGGGUUAAGUUAGCAAUUCAGACUUUGGAACCGAAACCGCUCAUAACGAUGAACAACUCAUUGAUAGACAGCAACCACAAACAAGUUAUCUGUAAACUUACGUAUUGAUGCGAGAGAGUAAUAGAGAGACGGAAGUACGGAAGCGUGUAACUGGAACAUAACGUUUCGAGACUUUGAGACUCUGAGAUGGAAACAGUGGUAGUAGUGGUACGCGCCAACCGGAAGAAUAACAGACGCUAAACGGAAGUAGUGGAGGGGACGAAGAGAGCAGAAGGAGGACGAGAAGGGUGAAAAGCGUAACGCGAAACGACGAAAAGAAUGGAGGUACUGGCGAACGAAGUGGGUAAAUGACUUGAGCUAAAUCAGAAAAUUUAUUGUGAAUACGCGACGAGAGGCAUGCCGCGAGUCGAAACUGUGCCACGCGGACGUUUCUUCUUCCGCUUCUCGUGCCUGGCCAAGAUUAAAAUUCUUCUCACGUUCGCGUCGUUAACGGCGAGUGUUUUUUGAUGCGCGAAAGGCCACCGGUGAACAGCUUCUUUCUUUUUCCCUCUGCCUCCUCUUCGUCUGCCAAUCCUUUCUCCACUUCGUUUUUUUCUUUUUUUUCGUACUAAGAGAACGGACUGUAAUUAUCGAUCGCUCGCGACUUGUUUGUGCUUGAGCGAGCGAGAGGAAGAUGGGAGCUUCGAACCAAUCGAAGUUUUAUGCAAUUAUGGCAGCGUGUGCAUAGACCCCGGCCAGCCGGUUCUAAGUUGUACGCUGAUAGGUAGUGAAUUCCUUGAGGAACGGAAUAUUAGAAUAUCGGAAAUUUGUAUUUCUUUGGUUAAGCUAUUUAUUCUUCUAAAUGAUGAAUUCUGAGAUCAAUGAAAUUCAUAAUAACAAAAAUGUUUUGUUGCUCAUUAUUGACUAGCUGAAGGCACAGUGUCUUUUUCCAUUUUUAUUAUAAUGUAUGUAAAGAACAUUAGAGAACCAGUGAUAAUGUUGUGUAAUAUC